rnacentral:rRNA from 1 species
GACAGAGGUGCCGAGCGUUAGGCGGAAUCACUGGGCUUAAAGCGUGUGUAGGCGGAUGCCUAAGUACCUUGUGAAAUCCCACGGCUCAACCGUGGAACUGCUUGGUAUACUGGGUGUCUUGAGCUAUCUAGGGGCAACUGGAACAAACGGUGGAGCGGUGAAAUGCGUAGAUAUCGUUUGGAACGCCAAUGGUGAAAACAGGUUGCUGGGGAUAUGCUGACGCUGAGACACGAAAGCCAGGGAGGCAAACGGG